CAAAUAUUUGCCUGUUCCCAAACUAGUUGAAAGCCAGUCACUCUGAAGAGAAGUGUUUCUGCUUUGGAUGAAUCAAAAUGUCCAAAAAUUAUAGACUCCUGGUGAAGAAUGCCAAACAGGUGGUCCUGAUCUGCAACAACGGAGAGAAGUUCAUGACUAAACCAGGGAUGCAAAAUCUUUCUGUGAUUGAAAAUGGGAGCGUAGUGAUAGGGAGUGAUGGGCUCAUUAAAGCCGUGGGGCCUGCAGAAAUCAUCAGAGCCCAGUAUCCAGAAGCGUCCUUUGAUAAAGUGAUUGAUGCUUCAGGAAUGUGUGUCCUGCCUGGGUUGGUUGACGCCCACACCCAUCCAGUCUGGGCUGGUGACAGGGUGCAUGAAUUUGCAAUGAAGCUGGCAGGUGCCACCUACAUGGACGUGCACCGGGCCGGUGGAGGGAUCCACUUCACUGUGGAGCACACCCGAGCUGCCAGGUCCUCGGAGCUGCUGGCCUCCCUCAGCAGCAGGCUGGUCCGGAUGCAGCGAGCAGGUACAACCCUGGUGGAGUGUAAGAGCGGGUACGGACUGGAUCUGCAGACUGAGCUUAAGAUGCUGGAGGUGAUCGAGGAGGCCAGGCACACCCUGCCCAUCAACAUCUCCUCAACCUACUGUGGAGCCCACGCAGUGCCCAAAGGGAAGACAGUUGCAGAAGCAACAAAGGACAUCCUGCAGGUUCAGCUGCCACGACUGAAGGAACAGAUGUCUGCUGGGACUCUGAGGGUCGACAACAUCGACGUGUUCUGUGAGCAGGGGGUGUUUGACCUCAGCUCUACUCGUUCCAUCCUGCAGGCCGGCAAAGACAUGGGCCUCAACAUCAACUUCCACGGAGAUGAGCUUCACCCCAUGAACUCUGCUCAGUUGGGUGCAGAGCUCGGAGCCUUGGCCAUCAGUCACCUGGAGGAGGUCACAGACGAGGGGAUUGCUGCCAUGGCAACAGCAAGAACCGCCGCUGUCCUUUUACCAACUACAGCUUACAUCCUACGGCUGCCUCAGCCUCGGGCCAGAGAUAUGUUGGAAGCUGGAGUUGUUGUCGCCCUCGGCAGCGACUUUAACCCCAACGCCUACUGCUGCUCCAUGCCAAUAGUCAUGCACCUGGCCUGUGUCAACAUGAGGAUGUCCAUGCCUGAGGCUUUGGCUGCGGCCACCAUCAACGCAGCCUACGCCCUGGGGCGCUCCCACACACAUGGCUCCCUGGAGGUCAACAAACACGGAGACCUGCUGGUCCUCAACACCACGCGAUGGGAACAUCUUAUCUACCAGCUGGGAGGACAUCAGGAGUUGAUCCGUUACGUCGUCAUUAAAGGAAACAUAGUCGUUGAUAAUGGCAAAACUAUGGACUUAUAAUCAGAAAGAAAUAGUGAAGGUGCUAUCAAUAAUUGUGAUAGACAGCUAGAAUAUAUUAAGCUAAUACUUUGACAUUUUUUGAAACGUGUGUUUCUGGAAACGGGGAGACCAGUUGUAGCCUAGCUCUGUCCACUGUUUUUAGAUAAAUGUCAUCUUAACUGUUGAUUAAAAUCUGCCUCUCUAUUCAUCUAUCGCUGUUUCUGUAAAUCAGUUAUUCAGGGACUACAGCAGCAGCAGAAGAAUUUUCAUUAUCACCUCAGAAAACAGAACUGAAUACUCUUCCCAGCGCACCUGAGGCAGAUCUCAUCAGGAGAGAUGCUGGAGGAACACGGAACGCGCUCCAACACACCGGGAGCAUUUUGAUAAUGAAUGGCUGAGACACAAGGAGGAAAGAGGAGCGGAUAGAGAGCGAAAAAGAAACGUUGGGGACGCUACAGGAGUGCAGAACGGAGCACAGAUAGACGGGGCAGGACAGCGGAGCCGGAGCCGGAGGACAGCUGUGGAUGUUUGGCGGAUCGGCGCGUUGGCUAGUACUGUACAACAUUGCUGAAGAAGGUCCUCUCCUUCCCAAGGGUGUCAAAACAGUUGCCCGUUCAAAUAUCCCAAAAUAGUGUCACACCAUAUGAUUUUGAUUUGUGUGACAAAAUCUUUUUGAUUAGAACUGACUCAAAACAUGCUUGGACUUUGAAAAGAGUAGGCUCACAAAUAGACAUCUGUAUUAUUUUUCUGUAUUUUUUUGAGAAUUUGUGCAUUUAUUUUUCUUAGUUUUAUUCAAGUUCUCACUUUGAGAAACAAGUGCCGGACAGUCACAGUCACACCAUAUGAGUUUUGUUAUGUUUGGUUGAAAAUUCUGAAAAAAUGAGUGAUGAACUGUUUUAAUGUUGAA